UCCUGGCCCUAAACGAUGUCCACUAGGUCGAAGGUUCUCUGACGGAGUUUCGGCCGAAACAAAAGCGUUAAGUGGACCGCCUGGGGAGUACGGUCGCAAGGCUAAAACUCAAAGGAAUUGACGGGGGCUCACACAAGCGGUGGAGCAUGUUGCUUAAUUCGAUGCAACACGAAGAACCUUAUCCUGGGCUUGACAUGCAGGAAUACCUCCCUGGAAACAGGGUUGGUUGCCCU
rnacentral:rRNA from 1 species